rnacentral:misc_RNA from 1 species
GUUUAUUUGCGCGUUAUGCACAGAUACAUUCGUUUACAUUCAGAGUGUGUAAAAGUACUCCAAGUCUGAUCUGGCUCUCACCAAAUCAAGUCGGCGACAAAAGUCGCCCUCAGAGUCAAAGAUGCACAGGUGUGUGGAUUUGCGACCCUCGUGCACAUGUGUUGCCACCAGCACAGAGGACCGACUUGUAAUUCAUUAAUGAUCCUUCCGCAGGUUCACCUACGGAAA